GUACACGCUGUGACUAGCAUAUCAAUAAGCGGAGGAAAAGAAACUAACAAGGAUUCCCCUAGUAACGGCGAGUGAAGCGGGAAGAGCUCAAAUUUGAAAUCUUAAAGGGUUUCCCUUUACGAAUUGUAGUUUAAAGAAGUGUUUUCUGUUGAGGUUUUGGUAAAAGUUCUUUGGAAUAGGACAUCAUAGAGGGUGAGAAUCCCGUAUUUGACCUUUACUUUCAACUUUGUGAUACACUUUCAAAGAGUCGGAUUGUUUGGGAAUGCAGUCCAAAAUGGGUGGUAAAUUUCAUCUAAAGCUAAAUAUUGGCGAGAGACCGAUAGCGAACAAGUACCGUGAGGGAAAGAUGAAAAGAACUUUGAAAAGAGAGUUAAACAGUACGUGAAAUUGUCAAAAGGGAAGCGUUUGACACCAGUGUUGUUUUUCUGAAAAUCAAUUAAAGAACUGUUUAUGCUAAGUUGUUUAGACUUUAUCAGCUAACUGUUUAGUUUUGAGCUUUUCUUUAAUGCACUUUUCAGUUAACAAGUCAACAUCAAUUUCUUUUGCUGUAAAAAAGCUUGAGGAAGGUGGCUUGAGAUUCGUCUUAAGUGUUUAUAGCCUCUUGCCUAUGCAGUCGGAGAGAUUGAGGUCUGCAGCGUAGAUCCUUCGGGGCUAAAUGCAUUUGUGCUAAGUUAUAGCAUUUUAUAGACAACUUGUUGACUAUGAUUUGUCUUGUAGCUUACUCGCUUAUGUUAUUUUACCUACGCUUAGGAUGUUGAGUCGUAGAGCACGCA
rnacentral:rRNA from 1 species